CGUUGAUUACGUCCCUGCCCUUUGUACACACCGCCCGUCGCUGCUACCGAUUGAAUGGCUCAGUGAGGCGUCCGGACUGGCCCAGGGAGGAGGGAAACCACCACUCAGGGCCGGAAAGCUCUCCAAACUCGGUCAUUUAGAGGAAGUAAAAGUCGUAACAAGG
rnacentral:rRNA from 1 species